GUAUUGGAACACACAUUUUAUUUUCCCCAUCGGAUUGAUAACUCCUUGUAGGUUCACAGGUCGCUGGAUCAAGAGAUGGCAUAUCCAGACAAGAACUUCACAUAACCCAGAAGUCCUGGACUUUGAGCUGGUUGCAGCGACCAGAUGGAAUUUGAGGUUGUUUCCUUUGGGGAGGGGUUUGCAUUGGAGCCCAAGUCCAGAGAAGGCUGAAGUCUGAAUUCCUGUGCAGACCGUGGACCAUAUCAUCACAGGGUGGGCCUCCUGUGUUGCCUGACCUGGCUGGCUCUCCAAGAAUAACUUCUCUCCACUUAUCUGAAGUCACGUGGAUGUUGAUCAAUCACGAUGGCUGUGCCUGUAAGAUGAGAGGAGUGGGCUGCUGAUCCAAAAGGGGGAGAGGCUCAAGUUCGUUUUCUCAAAAGAACUGCCAGAAGAAAUCCCAUUUUCAUUAAUCAAGGGACAACUACAUGGCAGGUUGCCUGUGGCUUUUGAUCAACAGGAGAUCAAAGAUCGCGUCCAUGCAAGGUUUCUCAAAGACUGGUAAAAAGAAACGGCAAGUGAGAGUGCUCUCAUUUGAGAUGGCAGCGCAGUUAGCAGCAGUGGGCAGCCGAACCCAUGGAGGGUGAAGGACUUGGAGGCAUCGUGGACAACAUCCCUUAGCAGCUGAGAGAUGCAUGGUACACUAUUAAUGCCAUCUUGCCUCUAAGAAUCAAGGACUUUGGUGUGUUGCUAUGGUUUAUAUUUUAAGCUUCAAUGUCAUUCAAUCAACAAACAUUUUAAAGUGUCUACUCUGAGGUAAUCAAGAAUGCCGAAAUAAAUUUGCUUAAUAGAUGAAAACUGGUCAGUAUCCAAAGGGUAAGAAUUAAUUGCAUUCCACUGGAUACAAUUCACUUGUACUUCUCUGGACGAGAAUAUGCAUC